rnacentral:rRNA from 1 species
AUCCUACGGGGGGCAGCAGUGGGGGAUAUUGCACAAUGGGGGAAACCCUGAUGCAACGACGCCGCGUGUAGGAAGACGGUCCUCUGGAUUGUAAACCACUGUCCCCAGGGACGAAGAUGACGGUACCUGGGGAGGAAGCUCCGGCUAACUACGUGCCAGCAGCCGCGGUAAUACGUAGGGGGCAAGCGUUAUCCGGAUUUACUGGGUGUAAAGGGAGCGUAGGCGGCUGUGUAAGCCAGAAGUGAAAGCCCGAGGCUCAACCACGGGACUGCUUUUGGAACUACAUGGCUUGAUUGCAGGAGAGG